UACGGAGGGUGCGAGCGUUGUCCGGAAUCACUGGGCGUAAAGGGCGCGUAGGCGGCUCAUGAAGGCUGUGGUGAAAGUCCGGGGCUCAACCUCGGAUCGGCCGUGGCGACUCGUGGGCUGGAGCACUGUAGAGGCGGGUGGAAUUCCGGGUGUAGCGGUGGAAUGCGUAGAGAUCCGGAAGAACACCAGUGGCGAAGGCGGCCCGCUGGGCAGUGACUGACGCUGAAGCGCGACAGCGUGGGGAGCAAACAGG
rnacentral:rRNA from 1 species